GAUGAAGAACGUAGCGAAAUGCGAUAAGUAAUGUGAAUUGCAGAAUUCAGUGAAUCAUCGAAUCUUUGAACGCACAUUGCGCCCGUCAGUAUUCUGGCGGGCAUGCCUGUCCGAGCGUCAUUACGCCCCUCAAGUCCCCUGUGGACUUGGUGUUGGGGAUCGGCGAGGCUGGUUUUCCAGCACAGCCGUCCCUUAAAUUAAUUGGCGGUCUCGCCGUGGCCCUCCUCUGCGCAGUAGUAAAACACUCGCAACAGGAGCCCGGCGCGGUCCACUGCCGUAAAACCCCCCAACUUUUUAUAGUUGACCUCGAAUCAGGUAGGACUACCCGCUGAACUUAAGCAUAUCAAUAAGCGGAGGA
rnacentral:misc_RNA from 1 species